rnacentral:rRNA from 1 species
GGCGAACGCUGGCGGCGUGCCUAAUACAUGCAAGUUGAGCGCUGAAGGUUGGUACUUGUACCAACUGGAUGAGCAGCGAACGGGUGAGUAACGCGUGGGGAAUCUGCCUUUGAGCGGGGGACAACAUUUGGAAACGAAUGCUAAUACCGCAUAAAAACUUUAAACACAAGUUUUAAGUUUGAAAGAUGCAAUUGCAUCACUCAAAGAUGAUCCCGCGUUGUAUUAGCUAGUUGGUGAGGUAAAGGCUCACCAAGGCGAUGAUACAUAGCCGACCUGAGAGGGUGAUCGGCCACAUUGGGACUGAGACACGGCCCAAACUCCUACGGGAGGCAGCAGUAGGGAAUCUUCGGCAAUGGACGAAAGUCUGACCGAGCAACGCCGCGUGAGUGAAGAAGGUUUUCGGAUCGUAAAACUCUGUUGGUAGAGAAGAACGUUGGUGAGAGUGGAAAGCGCAUCAAGUGACGGUAACUACCCAGAAAGGGACGGCUAACUACGU